rnacentral:lncRNA from 1 species
GUAGCACACACAAACUUUAUUGAGUGAGGGAGGCGUGAACAAGUUUAUAUGUAGGGCAAUGGAGGAAUCCCUCACAGCAGGAGGCUGUCUAGGGUCUACAGAGCAGAGUUGCUACUCAUAAGGGGAGGAAGGCAAGCAGGGAAAGUCCAAGGGAAAAGGAUGCUGGAGAGGCGCUUUACCUGUCUAGAUGCUGUCUCUCAGUAGCACUGUGGAGACUGUGUUAGAGAACCACAAAGGGCAGCAGCAGCAGUGUCUUGGUGUCCUCUACAAGGCUUAUUUGAGAAACAAGUCACAGGGAAUUCCUUAAAAGAUUGUCAUUGGAAUACACUCAACAUUGUGAAGUCCCCUCAUGCUCAUGCUGCUAUAAUUGUCAUGCAUCUGUAGACCACCUAUUUCAUCUCAGGAAAGUUGCAAAAAUCCUUUUAAUAACAGCUCAAUCCCUUGUCUGAAGAUUAUAAAGAAAGAGUGGUAGCAACUAUAAAAUGCACACAAAAAAAUAGAAGAAUAGCAACGUGUACAUCGAUUUUAUUUGAUCGUAUCACUGUUGCUUUGGAUUGUCAGUGAUGUGACAAAGCAGUCUGAAGAGCGUAUUACACGGUCUUGCUGAAGCAGGAUAGUAGGUUUGUAUUAUUUUACUACAUGUUAAAUAGUUAUUUUUAAGCAAAAAAAAUUUUGAAUUUUGUUUUUUUCUCUCAAAACUUACUUUAUGGAAAAAUUUCAUAGUAUGUGAUAUACAAUGUAAUAAGUCAACUUAGAAGUACUGCAAGAAAGUCUUUACUGACAAAGCUUUGUUAAUAUAUAUUACUGAACCAUGAGAAAGUACUAUUUGUAUAGGUCAAAAAAUAGUAAAUAUAUUAGUCUUCUAAUGCAUUCAUGAAACUUGGUUAUUUGCAGUAAGUGCUCAAAAGCAUAUGUCCAUUUACUGUAUAUAUAUUUAAUAAAGAAAAACAUAUGCUUUCUUGGUCU